rnacentral:rRNA from 1 species
AGAGUUUGAUCCUGGCUCAGGAUGAACGCUGGCGGCGUGCUUAAUACAUGCAAGUCGAACGGAGAAUUAGCAAUAAUUCUUAGUGGCGAACGGGUGAGUAACACGUUGGUGACCUACCCCAAAGUGUGGGAUAACAGUCCGAAAGGAUUGCUAAUACCGCAUGUGGUUAUCGGAUUUAGAAACUGAUAACAAAAGCAGUAAUGCGCUUUGGGAGGGACCUGCGUCCCAUCAGCUAGUUGGUGAGGUAACGGCCCACCAAGGCUACGACGGGUAAGGGACCUGAGAGGGUGGUCCCUCACAAUGGCACUGAAACACGGGCCAUACACCUACGGGUGGCAGCAGUAGGGAAUAUUGGGCAAUGGGCGAAAGCCUGACCCAGCAACGCCGCGUGCACGAUGAAGGCCUUCGGGUCGUAAAGUGCUUUUCUGAGAGAUGAGAAAGGACAGUAUCUCAGGAAUAAGCCUCGGCUAACUACGUGCCAGCAGCCGCGGUAAAACGUAGGAGGCGAGCGUUAUCCGGAUUUACUGGGCGUAAAGCGCGUGUAGGCGGUUCGGCAAGUUGGAUGUGAAAUCUCCCGGCUCAACUGGGAGGGGUCGUUCAAAACUACCGGACUUGAGGACAGUAGAGGAAGGUGGAAUUCCCGGUGUAGUGGUGAAAUGCGUAGAUAUCGGGAGGAACACCAGUGGCGAAAGCGGCCUUCUGGACUGGUCCUGACGCUGAGACGCGAAAGCUAGGGUAGCGAACGGGAUUAGAGACCCCGGUAGUCCUAGCCGUAAACGAUGUAGACUUGGCGUCGGUGGGUUCAAAGCCAUCGGUGCCGAAGCUAACGCGAUAAGUCUACCGCCUGGGGACUACGGCCGCAAGGUUAAAACUCAAAGGAAUUGACGGGGGCCCGCACAAGCAGCGGAGCGUGUGGUUUAAUUCGAUUUACACGAAGAACCUUACCCAGGUUUGACAUGUUGGUGGUAGGAAUUCGAAAGAUGACCGACCCUUCGGGGAGCCUUCACAGGUGCUGCAUGGCUGUCGUCAGCUCGUGUCGUGAGAUGUUCGGUUAAGUCCGCUAACGAGCGCAACCCUCGCUACGUGUUAUAUGUGUCACGUGGGACCGCCGGUAUCAAGCCGGAGGAAGGUGGGGAUGACGUCAAGUCAGCAUGGCCUUUAUGUCUGGGGCUACACACACGCUACAAUGGCCGGUACAAUGGGUUGCUAAGCCGCGAGGUAGAGCCAAUCCCCAAAGCCGGUCUCAGUUCAGAUCACAGGCUGCAACCCGCCUGUGUGAAGUCGGAGUUGCUAGUAAACGCGCGUCAGCCAUAGUGCGUUGAAUACGUUCUCGGGCCUUGUACACACCGCCCGUCACGUCAUGGGAGCUGGUAACACCUGAAGCCGGUAGCCUAACCGUAAGGAGGGCGCUGUCGAAGGUGGUGCUGGUGACUGGGACGAAGUCGUAACAAGGUA